rnacentral:rRNA from 1 species
UGAGGAAUAUUGGUCAAUGGGCGAGAGCCUGAACCAGCCAAGUCGCGUGAAGGAAGACUGCCCGCAAGGGUUGUAAACUUCUUUUGUAUGGGAAGAAAAGGACUGUACCAUAGGAGAAAGCUCCGGCUAAAUACGUGCCAGCAGCCGCGGUAAUACGUAUGGAGCGAGCGUUGUCCGGAAUUAUUGGGCGUAAAGGGUGCGCAGGCGGCUUUACAAGUUGGAUGUGAAAUAUUGUGGCUCAACCACAAACGUGCAUCCAAAACUGCAAAGCUUGAGUUAAGGAGAGGUAAGUGGAAUUCCUGGUGUAGCGGUGGAAUGCGUAGAUAUCAGGAGGAAUACCGGUGGCGAAGGCGACUUACUGGACUUAAACUGACGCUCAGGCACGAAAGCGUGGGGAGCAAACAGG